rnacentral:tRNA from 1 species
GGGGCUGUAGCUCAGUGGUAGAGCGCUUGCCUAGCAUGUGUGAGGCACUGGGUUCAAUCCUCAGCACCA